GUCGAGAAUAAUUCACAAUGGACGAAAGUCUGAUGGUGCAACGCCGCGUGGAGGAUGAAGGUCUUCGGAUUGUAAACUCCUGUCAUCGGGGAGUAAGACCUGGCGGUAAAUAGCCGACAGGGUUGAUAGUACCCGAAGAGGAAGGGACGGCUAACUUCGUGCCAGCAGCCGCGGUAAUACGAAGGUCCCAAGCGUUGUUCGGAAUCACUGGGCGUAAAGGGAGCGUAGGCGGCGUGGUAAGUCAGAUGUGAAAUCCCGGGGCUCAACCCCGGAACUGCAUCCGAUACUGCCAUGCUUGAGGGUUGGAGAGGUAGCUGGAAUUCUCGGUGUAGCAGUGAAAUGCGUGGAUAUCGAGAGGAACACUCGUGGCGAAGGCGAGUUACUGGACAGCAUCUGACGCUGAGGCACGAAGGCCAGGGGAGCGAAAGGGAUUAGAUACCCGAGUAGUCC
rnacentral:rRNA from 1 species